rnacentral:rRNA from 1 species
UGGGGAAUUUUGGACAAUGGGGGAAACCCUGAUCCAGCCAUCCCGCGUGUGCGAUGAAGGCCUUCGGGUUGUAAAGCACUUUUGGCAGGAAAGAAACGUCAUGGGUUAAUACCCCGUGAAACUGACGGUACCUGCAGAAUAAGCACCGGCUAACUACGUGCCAGCAGCCGCGGUAAUACGUAGGGUGCAAGCGUUAAUCGGAAUUACUGGGCGUAAAGCGUGCGCAGGCGGUUCGGAAAGAAAGAUGUGAAAUCCCAGAGCUCAACUUUGGAACUGCAUUUUUAACUACCGGGCUAGAGUGUGUCAGAGGGAGGUGGAAUUCCGCGUGGAGCAGUGAAAUGCGUAGAUAUGCGGAGGAACACCGAUGGCGAAGGCAGCCUCCUGGGAUAACACUGACGCUCAUGCACGAAAGCGUGGGGAGCAAACAGG